UGUGGCCUUGAAGGGGACGUAACAACCCUGCUCCUUCCCCUCUCUUUCUGCUCCCUGGUACCACGAGAUGAGCAUCUUGGCUCCACUUCUCAUCCCCUGCCAUGAUGUGCUGCCUCACUACAGGCCCAAAGAAACAGGGCCAAGCAACCAUGGACUGAAGCCUCAGAAACUGUGCUCGCAUCCUGAUACUCACUGGUAGGCAGAGGAUGUGCGUCUUCACCUCCACAAAUGGCUUUACUCCUUUCAGCUCUGAGGGCCCCAUGUUCCUGGACCUCUCUCUAUUCUGCCCUGCGCUGCACAAGAGGGCUGGGAGAAGGUAUGGAAGCAGAGACACUGGUGAGGAGACGCUUGUGUC